AUGGUUCAUGAAAUAUUACAUAAUGUGGAUUGGAAUAGGAAAAUCGAAAAAUUCUUCCACCAUUGCACAUCAGUGACAAAUUGUGUUCUCACAACUAGUCAGCAAAAAAUCAUUGCACAAGCGGAGUUUUUAUUUGCAUAAAUUCGGAAAUGUCAAGAACUUUAAUACGUUUAUUAUGAUCACACGAAAUCUGGAACCGAAAAAGCUUUAUUAGAAAACUUACAAUUAACAGUUGUGGUGCAAGCAAUUAGGGAAAAGUGGAAUUAAUACAUAUCUAUGCAAAAUUUCAAUACCACCGACCAAUAAUACACCGUCCCCACUUAAUCGAGAGUACGAUAAGAUUUGUUAUGAAUUAAUCAAGGAACGACAUAAAAGCCAAAUAACCCAAAUAAACCAAAUAUAUGAAGUUCUUAUGAUAAAACGAAAAAUUAUUAAUUAAAAAUGACUUCUUCACAAACUGAUUUGCAGCCGGUUAAAUUUGCCGGUAGCGAAUAUUCUGUUGGGACGAGCACAGAUGCAAGAAGAGUUGAAGAGAUCAAAGUUUACAAACGUCGCUGGGUCGUUUUAUUCUUAUUUAUAUUUUAUUCGGGAGCAAAUGCUGCACAGUGGAUUCAAUACAGUAUUAUCAACAAUAUUAUAGUGAAAUAUUACGGCAUUAAUGACAAAUGGGUGGAUUGGACUUCAAUGAUAUAUAUGAUUGUUUAUAUUCCACUCAUUUUUCCAGGCAGUUGGUUUCUCGAUAAAAUGGGUCUCCGCAUCACAGCCCUCGUAGGCAUUGUCGGCACCUGCAUUGGAUCCUGGAUUAAAGUCUUCUCUGUGCAACCAGAUCUCUUUUAUGUCACAUUUAUUGGUCAAACAUUUGUGGCCUUGGCUCAGGUGUGUAUUUUGUCUUUACCUGCCCGCAUUGCGGCUGUGUGGUUCGGGCCGCAUCAAGUGUCUUCGGCGUGCAGCUUAGGAGUUUUUGGUAAUCAACUUGGCAUUGCUGUUGGUUUCGUGCUACCUCCAAUAUUAGUGGGAAACUCAGAUGAUCUAGACGCAAUUGGGAGUGAUUUGCUAUUUAUGUUCUACUGGUUUGCGGGAUUUACGACAGUUUUGAUGGUCCUGAUGAUAUUUCUGUUUAAAGAUAAACCGCCAACACCGCCGAAUCCAAAGCGCUCAGGAGACCCCACAGCUAAUUCAGCUUCCGAAGAGCCUUUUAUGAAAUCGUUGAAGAGUUUGGCUCUCAAUCGUAACUACAUACUACUUCUUAUUUCCUAUGGAAUGAAUGUUGGCGUUUUCUACGCGAUAUCCACUUUACUUAAUCCGGUUGUUCUCAAAUAUUAUCCGGGUCACGAGGUUGACACUGGACGCAUCGGCCUAACUAUUGUGCUCGCAGGUAUGAUCGGCUCUGUCGCAAGCGGUAUUGUGCUGGAUCACAUGCGUAAAUUUAAAGAAACAACGCUCGCUGUUUAUGCCCUCUCUAUGGUUGGCAUGUGGAUAUUUACCUUUACAUUAGAUACGGGGCAUAUUGUUGUGGUCUACGUGACGGCCGGACUUCUAGGCUUUUUCAUGACCGGAUACUUACCUGUUGGCUUCGAAUUCGCUGCCGAACUUACAUAUCCCGAGCCAGAGGGCACGUCUUCCGGUUUGCUUAAUGCAGCCGCACAAGUUUUUGGUAUUGGGUUCACUUCCCUAUACUCAGAAGUAUUCUACACUUACGGUGAUAUUCCAGCCGAUGUCAUUAUGUCAAUUAUGUUGAUGUUCGGCACUUUAAUUACCGCAUUGAUAAAGCCCGAUUUAAGAAGGCAAAAGGCAAAUCAAGAAAACGCAAUAUCUACGCCCGGCGUUUCAGCUGAAUCAGUGCAAGUGCAGUCCUCAAACAUUGCAAUCAUCUCAACCCGCAAAUUAAGCGAUAUUAAUCCCUAGGAUCGUAUUGAUUUUGUUUAAGUGUGUUAACUGUCAUUGCAAUAUAUACAUACAAUACAUAUGUAUAUGUUUACGUACGUGUACAUAUGUGAAACUUUGUUCUUGUUGUUUGGAAACUGCACUUAAACAAAUUCAGAGCUUUAUACGUACAUAUGUAUACAUGUACAUAUGUAUGUACAUACCUAAAUAAUUAUGUACGACGCUAGGAUAAGGAUGUAUCUCUUCCGCAGCGAAUCGGUGAUAUCGGGACGGUUGUUGAUUAUGUACAAUUUUAUUAACAUAGAAAGACCAACGUUAUUAUAUGAGUAGUUAUGUAUUUGUAAGUCUCAAAGGCAAAUUGUUAAAUUAUUUUUAAAUGUUUUUAAAGGAAAAGCACUAAUUUACACAUAUGCACGCAAAUAAUAGAACUGGCACUUAGUAUCUACAUACAUAUAUACUAUAGGCGCGUUAAUUACGUUACUAAAUGUAUACAAAUAUAAGCAGAUAUACAUAUGUACAUAUAUGUAUGUAUUUAGACUUUUAAAUGAACCUUAAUUACACAAAUCCACAAACAACUGUUUCUUGUAAAUGCUGGAUCGCUUGUAUGAAGGACAGUAGAGUAUAUAUGUACAUACAUACAUAUGUAUGUGUGUGUAGAUGACGAACAAUUUUCACUUACAGUCUGUCUAGUAGUCUAAACAGACAACUGUUAUGGCUUCACAUCCAAAUUCUGAGCGAAUUUUGUAAGUUUUUCGGCUCACAAUAAGUCGCAUUUGACGUGAUAACUGUUCAAAUCAUUUCAUCUAGAUAAUACAAAUCAUAUAAAACUUCCCUUGAACUUCGAUGCUCUCAGGUAUUUAUACUUGGAACUAAAUGUAGUGACCAUGAUUUAACACUCGAUUGGCAAUCUCGAUUAACUCUGGAGUGAUGAUAAAAUAUACGUUUAGUAUGUAGUUCGAACCCCCCCCCCUUAAAUUAGCUAAAAUUUUAGCCAAAUCGGUCUAGUCAUUGUCAAUUCAGGAAAAACUAUAAAUUUUAUUCACCAAUUUUAAAAGAUGUUUUUAUAUUAGAGAGAGGAGCAGUCUUCCCGUUAAUACAUACAUAUAUAACAUAUUAUUAAUCUUGUGCAUCACAAAUCCUUUUAUCAACAUCUGACUUAAAAUAUAUUGUAUUCAAAAAGAAUAGAAUCAUUGAUGGAUCCAGAAACGAUUAAUAGAGUGCAUACGGUAAAAUGCACCGAAUGGUAUGCCUGAUAGUGACAGUAAAAAGUUUUUCCCUAAAAUUUUAACGUUUUCUCAACAACAAAAAAAGACAUAUGUUCAUACAUACAUACAUAGUAAAUGCAUUCCACACCACCCACCCAUUUUUUCCAAGACUUUACCAUUCAAUUUGUACCCACAACGGUUCUUUAUACAUCGUAUGAGCAUCGUUUUUACUGUUAUCAUUCGUGUUUACAUGAACUGAGUUAACGAAAGACGUUAAGAAUUGUUGUUUGUAGGUUGACAAUCAUGUAACAGAAACACCUGGGCAUCUAAUGGGCGAUUCAUAGCUCUUCCUUAUUUAUUUCCCCUUUUCAAAAUAAAACGAAAUUAACUGAAGAAACGAAAACCAAUAUCUAGGAAUAUUUAGUCUUAUUAAGGUAUUAUUCUAAACUACUUAUACAUAUUAAAUUAUAAAUGUAGAGAAAAUGUGGAGAACUGGCAUACAUGCAUACAUAUGUACAUAUUGGUAUAAAAACAAGAAAACAACAAGCAAAUAAAGAAAGGCUUUAACCAAAUUUUUAAUUGUUUCUAGCUCAUUUGGCUCUUAAGGACAUUCCGUUUUAAAUGGCCUUUCUGUAAUAAGGAAAAACGAAUAACAAGAAUAACAAGAAUAUAACAUAUACAUAUAUAUACGAUAUAUACAUACAUAUAUACGUUCGUAGGUAUUUAUGCACACAGACAACACAAUAACUGUAUAAAUUAAAUAUAGGAACAUAUAUAAUUGUAGCAAUGCAAGACUUUUAAUAUAUAAUAUUUACAUAUAUGUACACAUACAAAAAAAUAUCGUGUAUACAAUAUUAACCAGCUGGAGCUUAUUCAAUAAAAUGUUGUUAUUAAAUUAAAAUAUACAUAUGAAUUAAGAUUAAAAUAAUAAUAUUAUACAAAUAUAUAAUAUACAUAUAUACACAUAUGCUAGCAGAA
rnacentral:misc_RNA from 1 species